rfam:Populus trichocarpa scaffold_4_contig_179, whole genome shotgun sequence.
AUCCCAGAUAAGGUUGUUUGUUGUGCUUAUCUGAUUCAUGGGAGGGAAAAAUUAUAAUGGGAAUUCGCUGAUAGCACCUUUUGGUUUUAGAAGGUGUUUUACUAGUACUUCACCAUACAUGA